ensembl:lincRNA
ACCUGGGAGGCAGAGGUUGCAGUGAGCCGAGAUUGCACCACUGCACUCCAGCCUGCCUGGGCGACACAGUGAGACUCAUCUAAAAAAAAAGAGAGAGAGAGAUUGAGAGUUGGGGAGAGAAGAUUGUUUCCUGAAGGAAAAAUUGGGAUGCUGUUAUCCAAAAACAGGGGAAGAUACAUUGGGUAGGCAAAACAACAGUUAUCCAUAAUACCUGUUAUAAAUAAAUCAUUUUAAAAUAACAUUAAAAAGAGGGAGAACUUGCACUGUCUUAACUUAUUGAUGUUUGAUAUGUCAUAUAAUUUCUUGCCAGGUAGGAGCAGCACUUAGACCAGCCUUCACUUCAGAGACACCACCUGAUGUCACUGCCAAAGCAUGUCAGGUUUGCAGUGCCUGGAUAGCAAGUGGAGUUGUAAGUGACCUUAAUGAUCUACGAAGAGUUCAUCAGUUGCUUGUCUCAUCAUUAACAAAAAUACAGGCUGGAAAAGAAGCUCUAAGUCACUUAUAUAAUGAAAGUGCUUCUACCAUGGAGAUCUUAGCUGUGCUUAAAGCCUGGGCGGAGGUCUAUAUAAUUACUGUGCAAAGACAUAAAAACCACAGACAAGCUUUGAAGACUACCACCUGUUUAGAAGACAGUAUCAGAUAUGGAUCAUGUUCAUCAGAUGGACUAUUUGACUUAGUCUGCUCAGAUCUUGGCACACUAAGCAGACUCUGGCUUGCUGCACUUCAGGAUUUUGCUCUUUUAACUUUGCCUUCAGAAUUUGCCUCCCAACUUCCUGCUGAAGGCGGUGCUUUCUACACAGCAGAGACUAGUGAAAAUGCAAAAUUGCAUUAUUACAACUCUUGGGCGCUUAUCCUCCAUGCUACGGCAUUGUGGCUUACAAGCACGGGCUUUGUUGUUGCUGACCCAGACGAAGGAGCAUCUAAUCUCUCCAGGCCUGUAACACCAACUUCCAUGUGUCAGGGUUCAUCAUCUGGGGCUACCAUAAAGUCCCCUGAGGAUGUCUACACUGAUAGAUUCCAUCUUAUUUUAGGAAUCAGCGUGGAAUUUCUAUGUUCCUUACGUUCAGACGCAACCAUGGAAAGCAUAACUGCUUGUUUACAUGCAUUGCAAGCACUUCUAGAUGUACCUUGGCCCAGAUCAAAAAUUGGCAGUAAUCAGGACUUGGGUAUAGAAUUGCUGAAUGUUCUACAUCGAGUAAUUUUGACCAGAGAAUCACCUUCUGUUCAAUUGGCUUCACUUGAAGUGGUAAUGCAGAUUAUCUGUGCUGCUCAAGAACAUGUGAAGGAAAAAAGACGAAGUGCAGAAGUUGAUGAUGGAGCUGCUGAAAAGGAAACUCUGCCAGAGUUUGGAGAGGGAAAGGACACUGGAGGACUUGUGCCUGGGAAGUCUUUGGUGUUUGCAACACUGGAAUUGUGUGUAUGCAUUCUAGUUAGACAGCUCCCAGAACUAAAUCCUAAAUUGACAGGUAGUCCAGGAGUAAAAGCUACAAAGCCACAGAUGCUAUCAGAGGAUGGAAGUAGAUUGGUUUCAGCUGCGUUGGUUAUCCUUUCUGAACUUCCUGCAGUGUGCUCUCCUGAAGGAAGCAUCUCAAUUCUCCCUACUAUAUUGUACCUCACAAUUGGGGUCCUCAGAGAGACUGCUGUGAAGUUACCUGGGGGCCAGUUAUCUUCAACAGUUGCAGCUUCCCUACAGGCUCUAAAAGGAAUAUUAUCUUCUCCAAUGGCCCAGGCAGAAAAGAGCCAUACUGCUUGGACUGACCUUCUUCGAAGUGCUUUAACAACAAUUCUUGACUGUUGGGAUCCAGGUGAUGAAACACACCAAGAACUUGAUGAAGUCAGUCUACUUACUGCUAUCACAGUGUUUAUUUUGUCUACCAGUCCAGAAGUAACUACCAUCCCAUGCCUUCAGAAGCGCUGUAUUGAUAAAUUUAAAGCUACUCUUGAGAUAAAAGAUCCUAUGGUACAAAUCAAGACUUACCAGCUCCUACAUUCCAUCUUUCAGUAUCCAAAUCCAGCUGUUUCCUACCCAUAUAUUUACUCUUUAGCAUCCUGUAUCAUGGAAAAACUACAGGAAAUAGACAAGAGAAAACCUGAAAACACUGCUGAGCUUCAGAUCUUCCAAGAAGGCAUAAAGGUCUUAGAAACACUGGUUACUGUUGCUGAAGAACACCAUCGAUCUCAGCUGGUGGCUUGUCUUUUGCCCAUCCUCAUUUCCUUCCUUUUGGAUGAAAAUGCUCUGGGAUCACCAACUUCCAUAAUGAGAAGUUUACAUGACUUUGCUCUGCAAAAUCUCAUGGAGAUUGGACCUCAGUAUUCAUCUGUUUUUAAAAGUUUAGUGGCUUCUUCUCCAGCCCUAAAAGCCCGCCUUGAGGCUGCUAUAAAGGGCAAUCAGGAAAGUGUCAAAGUCAAGAUACCAACAUCUAAAUAUACUAAGAGUCCUGGAAAAAAUUCAAGCAUCCAAUUAAAGACCAAUUUCCUCUGAUGUUAUUUUUUUGGAAUAGUAAGCACCUUAAUAUAAUACUUGAUCAUUUACUUCUCUUUGGGGACAAAAGUGACAUGUUAGGCACAAGUGCUCUUUGAGGUCUAGUUGAUUGUUUUACCUUAAAUAGCUGUGACUUUUCAAAGUAACAGCAUACUUAACAUUUUUUUUGUGUUGGUGGCGGGGGGGGGCCUAUGUUUUUUUUUCCAUUUAAGAAGACAAUGGAGCUAUCUUAUCAGGAAUUUUAAGAAAGUGCUAAAGACCUAAACUUACUAACCAAUUCACUGCUGUAAAAAUGAAAUGGAUUUCUUCUAACAGCCCAUACACAUGCGGCAUACUUAAUACUGUGAUAGAUAAAAAUAUGGCUCUAGCGUAAAUGAUCUGCACUAAUAUUGUAUCCCAAUUGCUGAUUUAAAAUUCUGCCUUGGCUGGGUGCCAUUGCUCAUAUCUAUGACCCCAGCACUUUGGGAGGCUGAGGCGGGUGGAUCAUGAAGUCAGGAGUUCAAGACAAGCUUGGCCAAGAUGCUGAAACCCCAUCUCUACUAAAAAUAGAAAAAUUAGCUGGGCACAGUAGCAGGUGCCUGUAAUCCCAGAUACACAGGAGGCUGAGGCAGGAGAAUCGCUUGAACAUGAGAGGCGAAGGUUGCAGUGAGCUAAGAUCGUCCUACUGCACUGCAGCCUGGGUGACAAGAGAAAGACUGCGUCUCUAAAUAAAUAAAUAUAAUAGUACAAAAUUACAGCUUUACAACAGUGUAACAUAAAAUUUGGUAUCUAUAUAACAGUUUUUCACCAUCCUUUGGUUUAGUUUUUAUUGGCUUCAGAAAAUGGAAGUUUUACUCAUCUUAAAUAGAAUAAGGCAUCUCCAGUAUUUUUCAAAGGGAUUUUUAUGUUACCUCUAUUUAACCAAUUUUGUUCACUUUC